UGGGGAUCUGCCCUAAAGUGGGGGACAACCCGGGGAAACCCGGGCUAAUACCGCAUAACCUCUUCGGAGUAAAGCUGGGGACCUUCGGGCCUGGCGCUUUAGGAUGAACCUGCGUCCGAUUAGCUAGUUGGUAGGGUAAAGGCCUACCAAGGCGACGAUUGGUAGCUGUUCUGAGAGGAAGAUCAGCCACACUGGGACUGAGACACGGCCCAGACUCCUACGGGAGGCAG
rnacentral:rRNA from 1 species